UACGUAGGGUGCAAGCGUUGUCCGGAAUUAUUGGGCGUAAAGAGCUCGUAGGCGGUUUGUCGCGUCUGCUGUGAAAACUCGAGGCUCAACCUCGAGAUGUCGGCGGAAACCAUCUGGCUAGAGUCCGGAAGAGGAGAGUGGAAUUCCUGGUGUAGCGGUGAAAUGCGCAGAUAUCAGGAAGAACACCCGUGGCGAAGGCGGCUCUCUGGGACGGUACUGACGCUGAGACGCGAAAGCGUGGGGAGCGAACAGG
rnacentral:rRNA from 1 species